AUCAAUAAUAAGCAUGUACAUGCAUGAUCUCCUUGUUAGUUGAUGAAAUAUUGUGUCUUUCUUUUAUUAUGUAGCUGCAAUGGGUACUGAUAAUGAAGGUGGUCACUGUCAGCCAGUCAUACAUGUAGAGACUAGUGGAGCAACACAGCACAGUACAAUCAAUGAUUGGCAUGGUGAGAUCCAACUCAAGGACGUGAUACCUCAAGUGGUGCUCUUGUUGCUACUAAAGACUAUCUUCAUUCAUUGGAGAAUAAUCUAUUAGGAUUGGUACACCAUCUACAACAAAGGACUACCAAUGACACACAGAGAGAAGUAGAUACAAUGUCUCACUGGCUCCGUCACAUUGCAGAGGGAGAGCCAUGUGAUACUUACCUUAAACUAUCAUCAGGUGACAUAGGCGGCUGCAGGAUUUGACUACUAGUCGGGCAUGGGUGUGGCACAGGAAAUGGGUUGGGCGCGCGAAGCGCGCUGCGAUUUUGGCCACACCCUCUUUUACACACCCUUUUUAGCGCAAUUUUUUGGUAGCGAAGGUUAUUGUAAUAAAGUAGUGGGUGGUGUAGCUCCAACACUGACUUCUGUAGUGGUAAUAGUACUAGUAGUAGUAUUAGUAGAAGAAUAGGGUGAUGGAGAAUGAGCAACAAUUGAUUGUACAUCAACUGUAGCUGUAAAAACUGUAGCUGUAUCAACCACAAGAGUAGACUGAGACUCAUGAUCAUCAACUGAUUCAGCAAGAGACUGACCUAAAGUUCACUUUGUAAACUGUUGUUCCUUUUUAGCAGGCUUGUUCACAAAGGACAUAGUGAAGCUAGUCCAGGCUUUUAGACAUUGCAACUGACAAGAAAAGAACACUGAAAUAGCACUAAAUAAUGAAAUGAUUAUGCUUUCUAGUGUUGCUGUGGUGGCCCACUGUGAUUGGCACCAAAGUCUUACCACCUCCUCCUUUAUUUAGUCUCUCUUCAUCACCUUGUUAUCAGCCUGCCAUUUAUGCAUUCAUAAUUAUAAGAUUUUCAUAAAAAAUUGAAAUUAUAAUUGCAA